rnacentral:rRNA from 1 species
UGUUUUGAGAGUUUGAUCCUGGCUCAGGAUGAACGCUGGCGGCGUGGAUAAGGCAUGCAAGUCGAGUGGGUUUAGGCCCACGGCAAACGGGUUCGGAAUACAUA